UACGGAGGAUCCAAGCGUUAUCCGGAUUUAUUGGGUUUAAAGGGUGCGUAGGCGGCCUAUUAAGGCAGGGGUGAAAGACGGUAGCUUAACUAUCGCAGUGCCCUUGAUACUGAUGGGCUUGAAUGUACUUGAGGUAGGCGGAAUGUGACAAGUAGCGGUGAAAUGCAUAGAUAUGUCACAGAACACCAAUUGCGAAGGCAGCUUACUAAAGUAUGAUUGACGCUGAGGCACGAAAGCGUGGGGAUCAAACAGG
rnacentral:rRNA from 1 species